AUUGAACGCUGGCGGCAGGCCUAACACAUGCAAGUCGAACGAGUGGCGGACGGGUGAGUAAUGUCUGGGAAACUGCCUGAUGGAGGGGGAUAACUACUGGAAACGGUAGCUAAUACCGCAUACCAUCAGAUGUGCCCAGAUGGGAUUAGCUUGUUGGUGGGGUAACGGCUCACCAAGGCGACGAUCCCUAGCUGGUAAGAGAGGAUGACCCGCCACAGUGGAACUGAGACACGGGCCAGAGACCAGCACACGGCGACAAUACUCAAUAUGGCACAAGAGGCGCAAGCCUGAUACAGCCAUGCGGCGUGUAUGAAGAGAUCCUUCGGGUUGUAAAGUACUUUCAGCAGAGAGGCUUGACCAGCAGAAGAAGCACCGGCGAACUCCGUGCCAGCAGCCGCGGGAUAC
rnacentral:rRNA from 1 species